GUCCUCAAUGAUAAUUCUCUUUGUCUUUUCAAUGCUUGACUCUGGAUUGACUGCUGAAAUUCAUCUGACUGAAUCUGGUGGGGGGACACUGAAGCCUGGAGAAUCCCUCCAGUUAACCUGUGCUGUCUCUGGCUACUCCAUCACUACUGGCUAUGCUUGGAAUUGGAUCCGCCAGCAGCCAGACAAAGGGCUGGAAUACCUAGGGAGGGGAUACUACAGUAGUUCCACCUGGCACACUGAAUAUGCCUCAACUUUCCAGAGCAGGAUCUCCAUCUCUACGGAUGCUUCUAAGAAUGAAUAUUAUCUCCAGCUGAGAUCCCUGACAGCUGCAGACACGGCUACAUAUUACUGUGCCAGAGGACACAGUGACACAGAAUCAGUCUGGCAUCUGUACCAAAAGGGGAAGCAUGCUUUUGGAAAAGACCAUUUGCUGGUGCUGUAA